rnacentral:rRNA from 1 species
AACGAACGCUGGCGGCAUGCCUAACACAUGCAAGUCGAACGAGAUCUUCGGAUCUAGUGGCGCACGGGGGCGUAACGCGGGGGAAGCUGCCCCUGGCUUCGGAAUAACAGUGAGAAAUUACUGCUAAUACCGGAUGAUGUCUUCGGACCAAAGAUUUAUCGGCAAGGGAUGAGCCCGCGUAGGAUUAGGUAGUUGGUGGGGUAAUGGCCUGCCAAGCCGACGAUCCUUAGCUGGUCUGAGAGGAUGCCCAGCCACACUGGGACUGAGACACGGCCCAGACUCCUACGGGACGCAGCAGUGUGGAAUAUUGGACAAUGGGCGCAGGCCUGAUACAGCAAUGCCGCGUGAGUGAUGAAGGCCUUAGGGUUGUAAAGCUCUUUUACCAGGGAUGAUAAUGACAGUACCUGGAGAAUAAGCUCCGGCUAACUCCGUG